AAAUGGUCAUGAAACACUUUUCACUUUUUUACUAUGGUGCUAUACAGCCCAUCUUCACCCUCACAGUCUGACCCCUCAUCAGCCCGGACACCUCUCCUGUAAAUUUGAACACCCUCCCCCUAAUUUCAAUUCCUGGGGAAACCACUGGAAGGCCCUGGGAAGAGGAUAAAGGAGCUGGAGCCAGUGGCAGGAGCAGAAGGCACUGAGGCAGUGGGGAAGUAGCCUAGGGAAUAAGGACAGUGACCUGGAAGGAAGAGGCAGCAGAAAGCUGCUGUUUGCAGCAUCCUGGAGUAGUGAGUGGCCCUGUCUCCCUGCUGCUGAAAGAAUGGCCUGGCUGUGGACUGCUAAGCUGCUGAGAGGAAUGUCUGGACUGUUUUUGGAGGAGUCCUUCUGGAAUUGGGGAAAGCGGAUGGUGAUACAGCUGGAGGGCUGUGCCACAAAACAGAUACCAGCAUAAAGGCAUUUAUAUCAGCAUACCUUGUCUUGUAAAUUUUCCAAAACACCCUAUAUUUAUCUAAUAAACACUCCUAUAUAAAACCAACUUAGCUAAAUCAGUGCAAUCUCCAGUGUGGCUGUAGUUAUACUGAUAAUAUGUGUUUAGCAAUAUAAAUGAAUCUGCUCUAGAAUGUUGCACUGAUUUAACUAAAUUGUUUUUUUUUUUUUUUUAUCAAAUAAGUUAAAUCCGUGCAAAAACUGAAUGAGGACCAGCCUUCAAAAAUGAUCACUGCUGACUUUGGAAAGUGUUUGCAAAGUACUUCAGGAGUUGAGUGCUGUCUCUGCAGGGCUGUAGCCAUUACGGUGAGGUUGCAAAGUGCUGAAUUCUGUCCCAAAUGUGAAGAACAUCAAGGCAAUGUCAGUCUCCUCCCGUGGUUUGUUUGCAUCUCUUCCCACUGACAUUUUAUGUUGUUGUUGCCCCUUCUCUUAUUUUUUCUUUUCUGGCUUUUCCCUUCCAUUCUCUUCUUCCUGUACACUUCUGGUUCUUUCCCUCCUCCAGGACCAAUCAAUUUGAUAACUAUUUUAAUGGCUCUUUCCCUGUGAUAUGUGAGCAUGCAAGAUAUAGUACCUGGGAUUUGUGCUUUUACACAGAGUUUACUCUGUUAUGCGGUAGCAACAGCAUGAAAUGUAUGUGAUCAUAUCUAGUUUUGUUCUUCUGUUCCUGGCGGGGAGCACUUUUUCUGGAGGCAAGUGUGGAUAUAACUUUCCAUUCCUUUUGAGGAAAUAAGGAAAACAGUGGAAAAACCAACUCUGUCUUUUUCCUCAACAGAGCACUCAUAGCAGGAACACAGAAGAUUUCAUCUGUUCCUCUGCUGCUUCUACACUUAUCACUGAACAAGCAUUAUGUACUCGGGAGCAGAAGCAUAGGCAGGAUCCUGUGCUGCAAAAUUAAUCUACAGUCUCCACAGAGCAUCUAUAGGAGGAAGUCAAGCUGCAGCAAUCUGGCCACACUGGCAAAGUGAAGAAUGGCAUCAUCUACUGCUGUUGGACCUACGGUGCUGAGGAGAGAGCAGUACGGUUCAAUCCUGAAGUGAUUGCUCAGAUCAAACAGGUAUUGAUGCAAAUGGAACUGCAGCCCUGUUUUUAGGGAGAACAACCAACAGUCUAUGUACAGAGAGCUGCACCCAUAUCCUGUAUGUUCAGGAUGGAGUCUAAUGAGCCACACCUGCCACAAUGAGCCGUCUGUAAUUAACCUGCAGCAUUGCAACACCUGUUGAGAGAUGGGCUCACAGGAGAAUCACGAGACACUGCUACAUGAAUGUAUAAAGUUGUGCAUGUGCACUUGGAGGCUAAGCUGAGAUGAUGGAAAAUGAGGUCCAAAAUCUUCAAGCAACCUUUAAUAAAUUCUAUGAGUUUCAUCAUCAUCCUUGCCUCCCAUACAUUCCCUCUCUUAACUUUGUGUCUUUUGGGUAUUAAUAUUGGCCAUAUUAUUGUGUGCAUAUUUAUAAUUUAAAAAGCAACACAUUCUAUGUGGUACACUACAUAUCAUGUAAAUACAUUUCAUAUGCACAUUGUUUAAUUAGUGCUGGAGCUAA